GACUAUUGACACUGUUGAUUUGUUGGGGACAAACAUGCCUAACUAUAAUUGGUGGAUGGUGUUGAUCUGGAGUUUUGGUGCAAUGAGGAGCCAAAGAUUAGCUCAUUCAACAGUGAUUUUGAUAUGCCCCAUAAACAGCUCCACCAGGGCCCUCACCAUCGUGAUUUUUCGGAGCAUCUUCAACUCUCCCUAGCAACAAUUGCAGAUGGAUGAUGGAUGAUCUCGUGCACGAAGCUAAAUUGUACAAGACUACUUGGCAGUAUAAGCAUUUUUGGGAGGAUUAAAUAUUUUUGGAUGGAUGUGUAUGGAUAACAAAUAUUAGUAGUUUUAUUUGUUGAUAGCUGAGCAUGGAUAACAAAUAGUUAUGUUUCA